rnacentral:rRNA from 1 species
UACGUAGGGUGCAAGCGUUAAUCGGAAUUACUGGGCGUAAAGCGUGCGCAGGCGGUUUUGUAAGACUGUCGUGAAAUCCCCGGGCUUAACCUGGGAAUGGCGAUGGUGACUGCAAGGCUAGAGUUUGGCAGAGGGGGGUAGAAUUCCACGUGUAGCAGUGAAAUGCGUAGAGAUGUGGAGGAACACCGAUGGCGAAGGCAGCCCCCUGGGCCAACACUGACGCUCAGGCACGAAAGCGUGGGGAGCAAACAGG